rnacentral:tRNA from 1 species
GGGCUUGUAGUUCAACGGUAGAACGCUGCAUUCGCAUUGCAGAAAUACGAGUUCGACUCUCGUCAAGUCCACCA